CGGGGCCCGAGCACGGACGGUCGUCAAGAUUCCUCCGGAAGCCGCUGACGCUGGUGCUGACGGCGACGGUGACGGUGACGGCGACGGUGACGGUGACUGCGACGGUGACGCUGGUGCUGACGGUUACGGUGACGGUGACGGCGACGGUGACGGUGACUGCGACGGUGACUGCGACGGUGACUGCGACGGUGACGGCGGCGGUGACGGCGACGGUGACUGCGACGGUGACUGCGACGGUGACGGCGGCGGUGACGGCGACGGUGACGGUGACGGCGACGGUGACGGCGACGGUGACGGUGACGGUGACGGCGACGGUGACGGCGACGCUGUCUUUGGACUUCGCAACGAUGCUCUGGGGGGGUUGGGGUCCUCCUC
rnacentral:lncRNA from 1 species